rnacentral:rRNA from 2 species
UUUUUAAGUUAGCGGCGGACGGGUGAGUAACACGUGGGCAACCUGCCUGUAAGACUGGGAUAACUUCGGGAAACCGGAGCUAAUACCGGAUAAUCCUUUCCUACUCAUGUAGGAAAGCUGAAAGACGGUUUACGCUGUCACUUACAGAUGGGCCCGCGGCGCAUUAGCUAGUUGGUGAGGUAACGGCUCACCAAGGCGACGAUGCGUAGCCGACCUGAGAGGGUGAUCGGCCACACUGGGACUGAGACACGGCCCAGACUCCUACGGGAGGCAGCAGUAGGGAAUCUUCCGCAAUGGACGAAAGUCUGACGGAGCAACGCCGCGUGAGUGAUGAAGGUUUUCGGAUCGUAAAACUCUGUUGUUAGGGAAGAACAAGUACGAGAGUAACUGCUCGUACCUUGACGGUACCUAACCAGAAAGCCACGGCUAACUACGUGCCAGCAGCCGCGGUAAUACGUAGGUGGCAAGCGUUGUCCGGAAUUAUUGGGCGUAAAGCGCGCGCAGGCGGUCCUUUAAGUCUGAUGUGAAAGCCCACGGCUCAACCGUGGAGGGUCAUUGGAAACUGGGGGACUUGAGUGCAGAAGAGAAGAGUGGAAUUCCACGUGUAGCGGUGAAAUGCGUAGAGAUGUGGAGGAACACCAGUGGCGAAGGCGACUCUUUGGUCUGUAACUGACGCUGAGGCGCGA